GUCAUCGGCAACUAGCGGGUCACAUGUUUGCAAUAGAGGUUCCAACUGUAUCGCCACAUUUUCUCCUGUUGGGAUGUUAUGUAUCAAAGUGUUGGGUCCUAACUUCAGUACUUCAUCUACAAAGUCUGGCACUGUUAUUCCAUCUAACGUCACAUGUGUUACGUUUUGUUACAUCUGUCUUCUUGAGUUGCUUGAAGAUAAGCCAUUUAAGCUUCUUUUUAUACCUAUUAUUAACUAGUCUUUGGUUCUUACGGAUAAAUUGGGAAAACGAUGGCAGGACUUCAUGAAGAUUCUCAACCUUAGCAUUCCUUAAGCCUUUCUGUGCCAAGUGAUUUUUUCAUCUAAAUAGAUCCCUUCUCACAUCCAUAAUCACUGCGGAUAAGCAGUUCCUCUUAGUUCUGAGAAGUAAACUCUUUGAUCUUACCGGUAACUUUAUUCGGAAAAUGGAAUUUGGAAAAACGCCAUUCAGCCUACAUUGCUUUAGGAAUAUGAACCUUUCUUCUAACACAAUCAGUUCCUUAAGUUCUGUCCCUGAGAUAUCGGCCAGCUCAGCCUGCAUACUAUAGAAAUGAGCGAUGAUAAUUAACACUGCCUGAUAAUAAUUACACAUCGUCACUAAAAGCACUAAGGCAG
rnacentral:lncRNA from 1 species